rnacentral:lncRNA from 1 species
GACCCCUCGCAGAGCUCAGAUGCCAUGUAUGUGGUGGUACCCCUUCUGGGGGUGGCACUGCUGAUUGUCAUCGCCUUGUUCAUCAUCUGGAGGUGCCAGCUGCAGAAAGCGACCCGUCACCACCCCUCCUAUGCUCAGAACCGCAGAUGCUUCGCUGUCAGACUGGCCGCUCCAUCAUUCGCCUCCAAAUAUUCAAACGUGGGAGCUUUUCCUUUCAGACUGUGGGCAGCGAGUCUCUCUCUAGCAAGAAUUUAUCUGACAAACAUACCCAAAUAGCACACCCUCUCAAGCUCAAUGCCUCAACAGUUGUUUCACUGUACUGAUAUCUGACUGCUGAACAGUGCCUGCCCUUCACCCACCCCCAGCCCGAGCAUUAACA